GUUAAUGAAUACUCAGGAAGAUAUGGAUAUACUUUCUCUCUUUUUUAGACGUGAAUCCAAAGCAUAGAGCGGGACUCAGUUGCUGACCCGUUCAUGUUCAACACCCGUUGCAGUGCCUUAGGUUGCCUCAGGCAUCUGCAUUAGGCUGGCAGAUAUGAUGCAGACCUGAGGGAGAACAGACAGCUUUCUGGAGUAGGUGCUGGAUGACAGACAGGGAGCAUUCACAGAGUCUAAAAUGACAUUACAUAGCUAUCUUUGAGCAAUUAAAUCCUCCUUUACUUUUCCUCCUUCACUUUAUCUAUGGUUACGUGGAAUUUCUUUGGUAAGAUCUGCAAUAGAAUUUGGGAUUUUUCUAGUUCUUCAGUGCCAUGCUCAAAGUACUAGGUGGUCUCUGCAAUCCAUCUUGAUAGAGCUGUGUCAUGUAGCAGAAAUACUCUCGCAGUCACGUCGUAGAAACGUAAAUUAAUAAUGGAAACUUUUUCCAGUGCUGAAUAAAAACAAACAGUAAGUGUCAAGCAUUAAUUAACAAUGUAAUGAGAAUAUAAUGAGACUUCGGUUCAGGCAUGUGCUUUUUUUUAACAGAAUGUCUUUUCUUUGUUGUAUUGCAGAAGAAGAAAUGGUGACUGAGUUGUACAGAAGAACCAGGACAAUCCAAAAAAUUCUGAGGACAACCGUUUCUGUCAAUACUGAAUUGUUCCAGAAACAUAUGGAGAAAACUGUACAUAGUGGAGACUGUUUUUGCUGAGCUGUCCAUUUAGUAAAAGACUGUGGAGCAGCUGCACAACAUGAGCUGAGCAGCCAAGACUGGGUACCAAAGCCUACAGUGCUACUCGAGUUCAGAUGUGAUGUCUCCUG
rnacentral:lncRNA from 1 species